UAGUCCACGCCGUAAACGAUGGACACUAGUUGUUGGGAUUUAUCUCAGUGACUAAGCGAAAGUGAUAAGUGUCCCACCUGGGGAGUACGAUCGCAAGAUUGAAACUCAAAGGAAUUGACGGGGGCCCGCACAAGCGGUGGAGCAUGUGGUUUAAUUCGAUGAUACGCGAGGAACCUUACCAGGGCUUAAAUGUAGUCUGACAGCUUUAGAGAUAGAGUUUUCUUCGGACAGAUUACAAGGUGCUGCAUGGUUGUCGUCAGCUCGUGCCGUGAGGUGUCAGGUUAAGUCCUAUAACGAGCGCAACCCUUGUCGUUAGUUGCCAGUCAUGUAAAGAUGGGGACUCUAACGAGACUGCCGGUGCAAACCGGAGGAAGGUAAGGAUGACGUCAAGUCAGCAUGCCCCUUACGCUCUGGGCUACACACGUGCUACAAUGGUCGUGACAAAGAGUUGCUAGUCUGCGAAGGCAAGCCAAUCUCAUAAACGCGGCCUUAGUUCGGA
rnacentral:rRNA from 1 species